GGCGGCGUGCCUAACACAUGCAAGUCGUACGAGAAAGCCGGCUUCGGCUGGUGAGUAAAGUGGCGCACGGGUGAGUAACGCGUGGAUAAUCUGCCCUUAAGUGUGGAAUAACGUACCGAAAGGUGCGCUAAUACCGCAUAAUGCCUGGCAACACAAGUUGUCCGGCCAAAGAAGGCCUCUGUUUACAAGCUUUCGCUUCAGGAUGAGUCCGCGUACCAUUAGCUUGUUGGUGGGGUAAUGGCCUACCAAGGCUGCGAUGGUUAGCUGGUCUGAGAGGAUGAUCAGCCACACUGGAACUGAGACACGGUCCAGACUCCUACGGGAGGCAGCAGUGAGGAAUAUUGCGCAAUGGGGCAACCCUGACGCAGCAACGCCGCGUGAGUGAGGAAGGUUUUCGGACUGUAAAGCUCUGUCGAGCGGGAAGAAGUGUACCGUGGCUAAUAUCCAUGAUAUUUGACGGUACCGCUAGAGGAAGCACCGGCUAACUCCGUG
rnacentral:rRNA from 1 species